CCCUUAGAUGUUCUGGGCCGCACGCGCGCUACACUGACGGGCGCAGCAAGUCCCCCUGGGCCGGGAGGCCUGGGUAAUCUUCGAAAGCCCGUCGUGCUGGGGAUAGACCGUUGCAAUUAUCGGUCUUGAACGAGGAAUUCCUAGUAAACGCAAGUCAUCAGCUUGCAUUGAUUACGUCCCUGCCCUUUGUACACACCGCCCGUCGCACCUACCGAUUGAAUGGUCCGGAGAAGUCAGUGGACCGGCAGCACGACUGCGCUUCGGCGCGGACGAGCAGUCCGGGAAGGUGACUAAACCAUACCAUUUAGAGGAAGGUGAAGUCGUAACA
rnacentral:rRNA from 1 species